CGAGUCGGCCGGGUGAUCGCUGCUCACGCAGAGGAAAGUCCGGACUCCACAGAGCAGGGUGGUGGGUAACGCCCACCCGGGGUGACCCGCGGGAAAGUGCCACAGAGAACAGACCGCCACGUCGCGAGACGGGGCAAGGGUGAAACGGUGCGUGUAAGAGACCACCGCGUCCCAGGUGACUGGGGCGGCACGGCAAACCCCACCCGGAGCAAGACCAAGAAGGGCCGCCCGUGUCCGGAAGGACGCAGCGGCCCGCGGACGCCGCUAUCAGCGCUGCUCGCGCGAGGCGUCCGGGUAGGUCGCACGCCGGCAACGGCGAAGGCGGUUGGCGACAGCCGUCGCAGAUGGAUGAUCACCGCCCCGACCGGGGCACAGGAUCCGGCUUACAGGCCGGCUCGUCCC
rnacentral:RNase_P_RNA from 1 species